ACGAACGCUGGCGGCAUGCCUCACACCUGCCAGUCGCACGCGACCUUCGGGUCUAGUGGCGCACGGGUGCGUAACGCGUGGGAAUCUGCCCUUGGGUUCGGAAUAACAGUUGGAAACGACUGCUAAUACCGGAUGAUGACGUAAGUCCAAAGAUUUAUCGCCCAAGGAUGAGCCCGCGUAGGAUUAGCUAGUUGGUGAGGUAAAGGCUCACCAAGGCGACGAUCCUUAGCUGGUCUGAGAGGAUGAUCAGCCACACUGGGACUGAGACACGGCCCAGACUCCUACGGGAGGCAGCAGUGGGGAAUAUUGGACAAUGGGCGAAAGCCUGAUCCAGCAAUGCCGCGUGAGUGAUGAAGGCCUUAGGGUUGUAAAGCUCUUUUACCCGGGAUGAUAAUGACAGUACCGGGAGAAUAAGCUCCGGCUAACUCCGUG
rnacentral:rRNA from 1 species